rnacentral:rRNA from 1 species
UACGAAGGGUCCUAGCGUUGUUCGGAGUUAUUGGGCGUAAAGCGGGUGUAGGCGGUUUUAUAAGUCAGGAGUGAAAGCCCUCGGCUCAACCGAGGAAGUGCUUUUGAAACUGUAGAACUUGAGUACUGGAGAGGAUAGUAGAAUUCCUGGUGUAGUGGUGAAAUACGUAGAUAUCAGGAGGAAUACCGGUGGCGAAGGCGGCUAUCUGGCCAGAUACUGACGCUGAGAACCGAAAGCGUGGGGAGCAAACAGG